GUGCAACUCCUAUUGACUUGUAUCCACAGGGUGGGACAAACACUGCAAACUUUAUUCUUGCUAGAAGUGACUUUAACAUCCCUACUUGCAUGUGUAAGAGAAGCAGGAUUCAGCGUGUAGCUAUGAUUACUCUUCAUCUAGAGAAGAAGAUCUCAAGAUUUAAACUGAAGAGUGCAAUAUCUGAAGAGCAAAAAGUACUUGAUGUGCCACCUUUGUAAUUUGAAUCAGAGAAUGCAUGCUUUGACAUUCCAUGUCAUUGGAAAGAAAUCUUCUGUGGAAAGGCAAACCUUGGGCCAAAUCCUGACUCCAGGGGGAUUUCUGCCUGGGUUCAGGCCUGCUGCUGCAAGAUGGUGACCACCCACAAUGGCUCUAGAAGUCCUUAGGAGUUGAGAGCCCUUGGCAUUUUGGAGGAGGUACACAGCACUUUGUGGGAUUUGUCACUAAAGCACUAGGGGGGUUCACUCAAUAUGUUGACAUAGGGAUGCUUGCUUAGGCUAAAGUCCUCUACCCAGCAGUUGGACUGGGUUAGCUGGGCUGGGUGCUGGGAGUGAAGGGCUAAGAAGAAUUCCCUCCCACAGAGCACCUGUGGUUCCUAAUGCUGUAGCCUACUCCAGCCAAUGUCCUGCCUCUCACCCACUUCCUUUCUGUCGCUACACAUGGGGCUCGUACAGAGCUCGUGCCCAUGCCAUUCUGUACCUUGUGUAUGGACACACACGUUCAGCUCCCCCAUUGUCGCACCAUGGGAAUACACCUGCAAAGAUAGGAGUGGCAUCUGGAAUUUACAUUUGGAACAAAAUUUUCAGGAUCCUGUGUUCCAUUUUCAAAAAUGACUUAGGGGAAGAUUUUUAAAGCUAUUUAGUUGUGUGAAGAUGCCAAAGACACUAAUAGGAUUUUCAAAAGAUCCUUGGUACCUAAUUCCCAUUAACUUUCAAUGAGACAAGAUCCUACAGCCCAGAUCCUCAAAGGUAAUUCAUGCUCCUAACUCCAAAUAUCAGUGGGAAUUAGGCACCUAAAUACCUUUAAAGAUCUUUGACUAAGUGCCCAAAUAAUUUUUGAAAAUGCAAUUUAGGAGUCUGUUUCUUGGGUGACAUUUUCAAAAGCACCUUUUAUGCUCUGGGGCCUCAUCCUGUAAUCCUCGUUUAGGCAAAAAUGAAAUUCAAGUUGGGGAUGUAAUGGGAGUGAAGAACUGCAGGAUCAGCCCCUUACUCACUAUCUCUCUUUUCCUGCAAUGAUUUCAGCUAUUUUCAGAGGGAUUCAGGAAAAAUAGGCACUACAAUCCCAUUAAAACUCCCAUAGGCCUAUUUAAAAUGUUCACCCUCUGUCUCUAUACAACUGAUGCACUAUUGUGUUCUAUUAAAAACACAAACUAAAAUGUUACUACUCAAAACAUUGCAACUAUGAACAAAAAUUAAGGAAAUGAGACUCUACAGAUGUGAAUCAAUAAAGAAAUGACUGCAAUGAAAAGAAGACAGGAAAAAAAAGCUCUUUGCCAAAAUAUUUGUCUGCAGAAUUUUAUAUGUUUAAUUUAUUUAAAAGAAAAGGGGAAA